rnacentral:tRNA from 1 species
GCCGCCUUAGCUCAGGGGUAGAGCAACGCACUCGUAAUGCGUAGGUCCCGGGUUCAAUUCCCGGAGGCGGCUC